GAGAGUAACCACUUCCCAAGUAGCAGAGCCAAUUACACCAAUGCCUCCCGGAACCCAAGCACCCCUACACAAUCAAAUCAAAAACAACCCUAAAAUUUACAAGAAACCUAUCCUAUGGAUCCCAGAUUAACAAUUUCAGGAAUAUCCAUAAACUUUGAUGCCCAAAGCAACGGAACCCUUAAAAGCAGACCUAAAAGAAGAGUCUGAAAUUGAAGAAAACCCAACGACCCAGAUUAGAACAAGAAAAAUCUAG
rnacentral:misc_RNA from 1 species